rnacentral:rRNA from 1 species
AGAGUUUGAUCCUGGCUCAGGAUGAACGCUGGCGGCGUGCCUAACACAUGCAAGUCGAACGAAGCACCUUACUUGAUUCUUCGGAUGAAGGUCUGGUGACUGAGUGGCGGACGGGUGAGUAACGCGUGGGUAACCUGCCCUGUACAGGGGGAUAACAGCUGGAAACGGCUGCUAAUACCGCAUAAGCGCACGAGGAGACAUCUCCUAGUGUGAAAAACUCCGGUGGUACAGGAUGGGCCCGCGUCUGAUUAGCUGGUUGGCAGGGUAACGGCCUACCAAGGCAACGAUCAGUAGCCGGUCUGAGAGGAUGAACGGCCACAUUGGAACUGAGACACGGUCCAAACUCCUACGGGAGGCAGCAGUGGGGAAUAUUGCACAAUGGGGGAAACCCUGAUGCAGCAACGCCGCGUGAGUGAAGAAGUAUUUCGGUAUGUAAAGCUCUAUCAGCAGGGAAGAUAAUGACGGUACCUGACUAAGAAGCUCCGGCUAAAUACGUGCCAGCAGCCGCGGUAAUACGUAUGGAGCAAGCGUUAUCCGGAUUUACUGGGUGUAAAGGGUGCGUAGGUGGCAGUGCAAGUCAGAUGUGAAAGGCCGGGGCUCAACCCCGGAGCUGCAUUUGAAACUGCUCGGCUAGAGUACAGGAGAGGCAGGCGGAAUUCCUAGUGUAGCGGUGAAAUGCGUAGAUAUUAGGAGGAACACCAGUGGCGAAGGCGGCCUGCUGGACUGUUACUGACACUGAGGCACGAAAGCGUGGGGAGCAAACAGGAUUAGAUACCCUGGUAGUCCACGCCGUAAACGAUGA